CAUUAAGAGGCUAUAUAAGCAUUAACCUUUUAAGUUAAAGAUUGAAAGUUUAAAUCUCCCCUUAAUGA
rnacentral:tRNA from 1 species